CGCCGUAAAAGAAAAUGGAAAUGGCAGGAGCAGGAGAUUGCGUGAUCAAAGGCAGCAAAAUGUGAAGAAAUGACCCACGGCGCAGGAGCGGCUGGCCUGAAACGGGAGCGUUCCGGCCCUGACUGGGCUGCAGGAUCCUUCAACACAACUCACAGACUCAGGAACACUGCUGGAAGACCGUAUGCAACUAUAAACUAUGGUGCAGAGAGGACUCUUGGUCUUCUGAGCUCUUCUGGGCUGACCUGGAGAUUCACCCACUCUGAUGAGAUACAAGAACAUUCUGGAGUGAAUUAGUAGGCAUAUAAAUACAUAGCAUUUUAGCACAGUAUUAAUAAACAGUAAAUAAAAUAAAUAACA
ensembl:lncRNA